UGUUUUAAUUGAAGAUCUAGGUCAUGUGAGCUACGAAUCGACUUUGGCAAAGUCGAUAAUGGAUUACAUUUUCACUAGAGAGUUAUGCUGUAAAGUGUAGUGGAAGGGACGAAGUGGUAGAAGCAAAGACACUAGACCUGGAAUUGGCCAUAUAACCAAUAUGUUAGCCAUUUUUGGAGUUGUCAUGACUAAUGUCUUAGACCAGCACAAGAAGCCAAUCCAUAUCUCCAAAGCACUCGAGUGUGUCCAGGCUGCCAGAAGAGUUCACCAAUUUAAUUAUCAGAAAUCAGUAAAUGUUCCAGAUGUUGCGUCCCAUGGGGACGAUGAAGACAAUGGGGGAAAUCUUGAAAAAAAUGAAGUAAUUUCUUUAGUGAAGCAGCGAACAAAAUCUAUUGUUGAAGCGCUUGAAAACUAUCGAGAGCUUUAACAAUCGGUGAGUAAUUCAGUCAUAGUAUAUCUCUGUCAGUGUUUUCUCAGUUGACCAUCAGUAUCUCUGUGAGUGCAAUUUCUCAGUUAGAAUGUCUUGCGGUGUCAGUGCAAUUUCUCAGUCAGAAUCUCUUGCUGUAUAUCUCUGUCAGUGCAAUUUCUUAGUCAGAAUUUCUUUCGGGUAUUUGUGUCAGUGAUGUUGUGUGUGCUGUUUCUCUGACAAUGAAUAAAAUGAUGUUUCUCACUU